rnacentral:rRNA from 1 species
UGAUCGAAGCCCCGGUAAACGGCGGCCGUAACGAUAACGGUCCUAAGGUAGCGAAAUUCCUUGUCGGGUAAGUUCCGACCUGCACGAAUGGCGUAAUGAUGGCCAGGCUGUCUCCACCCGAGACUCAGUGAAAUUGAAAUCGCUGUGAAGAUGCAGUGUAUCCGCGGCUAGACGGAAAGACCCCGUGAACCUUUACUAUAGCUUUGCACUGGACUUUGAAUUUGCUUGUGUAGGAUAGGUGGGAGGCUUUGAAGCGUGGACGCCAGUCUGCAUGGAGCCAUCCUUGAAAUACCACCCUGGCAACUUUGAGGUUCUAACUCAGGUCCGUUAUCCGGAUCGAGGACAGUGUAUGGUGGGUAGUUUGACUGGGGCGGUCUCCUCCCAAAGAGUAACGGAGGAGUUCGAAGGUUACCUAGGUCCGGUCGGAAAUCGGACUGAUAGUGCAAUGGCAAAAGGUAGCUUAACUGCGAGACCGACAAGUCGAGCAGGUGCGAAAGCAGGACAUAGUGAUCCGGUGGUUCUGUAUGGAAGGGCCAUCGCUCAACGGAUAAAAGGUACUCCGGGGAUAACAGGCUGAUACCGCCCAAGAGUUCAUAUCGACGGCGGUGUUUGGCACCUCGAUGUCGGCUCAUCACAUCCUGGGGCUGAAG